GCCCGGGUGGCGGAACUGGUAGACGCAGGGGACUUAAAAUCCUCUGGGGCAAUCCCCCGUGCCGGUUCGAAUCCGGCCCCGGGCACCA
rnacentral:tRNA from 1 species